ACGCACGCUGGCGGCAGGCCUAACCCAUGCAAGUCGAGCGAGGACUUCGGUCCUAGCGGCGGACGGGUGAGUAACGCGUGGGAACGUGCCCUUUGCUUCGGAAUAGCCCUGGGAAACUGGGAGUAAUACCGGAUGAGCCCUUUGGGGGAAAGAUUUAUCGGCGAAGGAUCGGCCCGCGUUGGAUUAGGUAGUUGGUGGGGUAAUGGCCUACCAAGCCGACGAUCCAUAGCUGGUUUGAGAGGAUGAUCAGCCACACUGGGACUGAGACACGGCCCAGACUCCUACGGGAGGCAGCAGUGGGGAAUCUUAGACAAUGGGGGAAACCCUGAUCUAGCCAUGCCGCGUGAGCGAUGAAGGCCUUAGGGUUGUAAAGCUCUUUCAGCUGGGAAGAUAAUGACGGUACCAGCAGAAGAAGCCCCGGCUAACUCCGUG
rnacentral:rRNA from 1 species